rnacentral:rRNA from 1 species
UGGGGAAUAUUGUGCAAUGGGGGAAACCCUGACGCAGCGACGCCGCGUGUGGGAUGAAGGUCUUCGGAUUGUAAACCACUGUCGCGAGGGACGAAGCUCUGACGGUACCUCGAAAGGAAGCACCGGCUAACUCUGUGCCAGCAGCCGCGGUAAUACAGAGGGUGCGAGCGUUGUCCGGAAUCACUGGGCGUAAAGGGCGCGUAGGCGGCCCGGUAAGUAGGGGGUGAAAUCUCAUGGCUCAACUGUGAGGCUGCCUUCUAGACUGCCAGGCUUGAGCACAGUAGAGGCGAGUGGAAUUCCCGGUGUAGCGGUGGAAUGCGUAGAGAUCGGGAAGAACAUCGGUGGCGAAGGCGGCUCGCUGGGCUGUUGCUGACGCUGAGGCGCGAAAGCGUGGGGAGCAAACAGGAUUAGAUACCCAAGUAGUCCCUGAGCGGGCUGGCAAGGCGCAU